AUUGAACGCUGGCGGCAGGCCUAACACAUGCAAGUCGAACGAGCGGCGGACGGGUGAGUAAUGUCUGGGAAACUGCCCGAUGGAGGGGGAUAACUACUGGAAACGGUAGCUAAUACCGCAUACCAUCGGAUGUGCCCAGAUGGGAUUAGCUAGUGGGUGGGGUAACGGCUCACCUAGGCGACGAUCCCUAGCUGGUCUGAGAGGAUGACCAGCCACACUGGAACUGAGACACGGUCCAGACUCCUACGGGAGGCAGCAGUGGGGAAUAUUGCACAAUGGGCGCAAGCCUGAUGCAGCCAUGCCGCGUGUGUGAAGAAGGCCUUCGGGUUGUAAAGCACUUUCAGCGGGGAGGCGUUACCCGCAGAAGAAGCACCGGCUAACUCCGUGCCAGCAGCCGCGGUAAUAC
rnacentral:rRNA from 1 species